UACGAAGGGGGCUAGCGUUGCUCGGAAUCACUGGGCGUAAAGCGCACGUAGGCGGAUCUUUAAGUCGGGGGUGAAAUCCUGGAGCUCAACUCCAGAACUGCCUUCGAUACUGGGAAACUUGAGUCCGGGAGAGGUGAGUGGAACUGCGAGUGUAGAGGUGAAAUUCGUAGAUAUUCGCAAGAACACCAGUGGCGAAGGCGGCUCACUGGCCCGGUACUGACGCUGAGGUGCGAAAGCGUGGGGAGCAAACAGG
rnacentral:rRNA from 1 species